UAAUAAUAAUAAUAAUAAUAAAGAGAAAUAUUUCAACCCUGUUAAGCACAUCGUUGGUGCGUAUUUUACUCCUCAUCAGCUACUUCUCCCCCAGUUUGGUUGAACUGUGUCUCCUUCGUGUUCAACCAGUGAAGUUAUUGCUAGAGCCAAUGUUGUGCUGCUCUCCCAAGUCUACCUAACAACCAUGAUAUUUUAGCUCCGCCACUCACUUAAGACGAGAUGUUUUCACUUUGCACAGUAGCAAAGUCAAAAUACUUCGGCCCUGCAACCCCGUAACUCAUCAAAGAUUAAAUAUUUUAGCUUUGCAAAACAAUCAAAGACAAAAUAUUCUAGCCCUGCAAAUUGUCAAUCACAUAAGAAAUUUUAGCUCUGUAAAUCAACAAAGAUAAGAAUUUUUCCUUGAUUUUAGAGUCGUCGUUGCAGGCUUGAUUUCUCUUUUGAUUUUUGAACAUCGUCAAAGGUGAUCAACUUUCAUUUCUUUGAGCGCAUAAGAAAACCAACACUUGAAUAGGUGAGCAAUAUGAAUACUUUGUGUUGGGCGAAUAAGAAGGUCGUCACAAGAAGAUACCGAUAUUAUAUGUAACCUCGUCAAGGCAGAGAGACAUAAUAUUUUGAUAGUGUGAGAAAGACCAACAUAGAUAAUUAUCAAAUCUGACCGACAUACUCUGUUAUUGGGUGCGUGAGAAGACUAGUGCGUGAGAGUACCGAUACUUGAUUGAGAGUGUCCUUUAUUGAGUUCCAAAGAGUAAAGAUAGCAGACGAGAAAUAUCAUCGUUGGACGAUUUAGGAACACACCAUAGAGGUGGCUUUAUUCACCGUUGGGUGAUUUAGAACCCAAGCAUAUCACACGGGGAUAGCUUUAAGAAUGAACAUAUCACACCCUAAUGAGGACUCCCGAUGGUACAGCCCUGAGAAGGACUCCCGAUGGUACAACCUGUAAUACCCCGUAUAUUUUAUAAUAUUUUUAUUAGUAUAUAUAUUUGUUAAAGGAAUUAAAUAGCUUGAGAUGUUAUUUAAUUAAUUGAGUAUUAGUUACUAAUGAGUUUAUUAAUUUAAGUAAUCAAUAUCAAUUAUUAAAUCAAUAGUGAGAAUAAUAGGUGAAUAUUUAUUUACUUGUUUCUUCAUGGAUGUGAAUAGUUUUGAUAGAAUAGUGGGUGAUUAGCUCUAUUAAUUUAGUAGUUGGAAAAUAUUUCUUUAAGUUUGUUUUUAAUUUAUUAAUUUCAAUAAACAAUUAGCUAGUGUGUUAACUACCUUUCCAAUAUAUGAGAUAUUAAAGUUACAUUUUAUUUAUUAUUAUUUCCUAAGUGGGCUGAUCAGUAGAGGGCACCAAAUUGGAUUCUAAAUUACAUUGCAUCAAAUAUUUUAAUUCUUAGGGCACAAGUCCCCCCCAAAAAAGGGGAUAGUUAAAUAAGUGUAUUAGAAUUGAGAAAUCUCAUUUUCCCUUGUUCCUGGACUCUUGACUUUUCUCCCAAAAGAAAACAGAACCAUCAUCUUCCUCUUUCAAGUUGAAUUCGUAGAGAAAUCUCAAGCAGAAGCUGCACUACUUUAAAAGAAAAGGCUCCGGCUAGGAACGAGCCUGACACUAGAGUACGAAGUAAGAGAAACAUAUCAGGAUGGCUCGUACCCUACGUACCGCAAGGAAGAGGGUUAGUACUAGAGCGACACGGGAUGAGAUUCGUUGGGAGUACCUCCACUAUGGCAUGUGCUGGAGAGACACAUUGGGGGAAUUUCUUGCCCACUUCCACGAGCACUGGUUGGCAGCUAGCAUGUAUGGGAUCUCCUCGUAUGAUGGCAUUAUUCGACUGACUCUACUUCCAUCCGACUGGAAGGGUUGGGCGACCUCCAUUGCCACAGACUACUUAUACUAUUAUGGUGAGGAGUACGACCUGUAUGUAGAUUUUCCAGGUUUCGUAGCCGCGGUUAGUUAUCAGUAUUUCUGCUAUGGGGCAGCUCCUUAUGGACCAUACACGUUACCAGGAGACUACAUCCAAGCUGGAGGAGGAAUUGCCGAUUUCUUACCACGAGAUGACCCUGCUCCGUAUGUGCCGUCCGAGCCAGUUCAGGUGGCCCCACUCCUUGAGUCUGACACUGAUGACGAGAUAGCUGCCCUACUUCGUUCUCCUACACCGAUUUACAUAGUGGUUUCCUCUGAUAGUGAGACAACUCCUCAACAAACACUUCCGACUGUACCAUCCUCAAAACCCGCACCUGCAACAAGUUUGAAGCUGGACCUUCCAGACUGCCUGGUGUACCUCGAGACCAUAUGGAUUCUCCCGGGAUGCAGCCGACUGUUGGAACUAUACGUCGAGAGCCGAUAGAUCUAAAUUAAGCGGAUGUGGUAGUCGACUCGGAUGAUAAACACGAGGCAGAGACACACGGUCAGAUGAUGCAUGUUUUCUUGAGGAGGGAUUCUGCAGGUAACGAUGUGAGAGUUCACGAGGUUCCAUGACAUGAGGGCGAGAUAGAGACGGAGCCUAGUGAGUCCAGUGCAGCAUGAGCAGAUGUUAGCUACUCCUUGAUGAUGGUUAGAUAGAAGGUGUAGUAACUUUAUGUAUGUACAUAGAUGUAUAUAGCUAUGUGUGGUGUGUAGAUGUAUAUAUAUGUUUUGAUGAUACGAAUGCGGAGUCUAGCAGACCGCACCGUGGUAUAGUACUAGUUGUGAUGUUUAUAUAGUAGAACAUCAGGAUUAGUACUAGGGAUUUUUGCUGUACAUAUCCCUGCUAUUUUGUAAAAGUCCUCCGAGGAGGCAGCUUUUACCUGAUGAUAUAUGAUGAUGACCUACGCGGUCAUUUAGCAAA